rnacentral:lncRNA from 1 species
AAGUGGUUAAAUCAAGAAGAUGAUUCAUACUUCGUUCCAAAAACAAUUCUUAGAGUUAUACUCUAAGAUUGUAACUUGAGUGACAUGUCUUAAAGAAGGUUAAAAACACUUGUCAAAUGUAAGAGUACAAGUUUUCUACUCUUGUACAUUUGAAAUUGGUAAGUUGUGACGUUUUGGAUAAAACAAAGACCAACUAAGGCCAAUUGUGUGAAGUGUUUGUCUUGAUUAGAAUCCACACUAUCUCUUGAAUAUAUGACAAGAAAGUCUUAUAUGUCAAGAGGACAGUGGGAGUCUUAAAGGUCUUGAAAGUCUCAAGAACUAAUCAAGAAUAAAACCUGAAGUUCUUCACUAGCACACAACUUGAGGUUUAUAACCUAUCGUGUUGACAUAUUCUGUGCCCAUUCCAGUUAAAGUUGGCUUUGCAUAUGAGUUCUUAGAGUUCUCAAUUGGUUGCACAACAACUUGGAAGCAAUGGCAGGCCCUUGAGCUGCCAGGUGGCAAGAAAUUAAGAUUGAGUUCANCCAGAUGGCAAGAAAUUAAGAUUGAGUUCAGUCCAUAUGAGUUUGAAUUUGUCAUUAUCCUUGUCUUGUGACUAUGGUUUUGACAAUUCACAUGGAUAAGAACACAUACACUAUUAAAUCUAAGUGUCAUAAGGUUUCUCUCCGAUUCAUGAAAAUGAUGGUGAGGAAACACUUUUACUAAGUAGAUUUUAGCUAGAUAGCAAUUGUGAUAUUUGCAUUCUCAAAGUCGUUAGUGGAGCGUGUGUGGUUUACCGGCACACUAACCUGGACUUGUGAGAAGUGGCAAAAAGGUCUAACCAUUAUGAUUACG